GAUGAACGCUGGCGGCGUGCUUAACACAUGCAAGUCGAACGAAGCAUUUGCGACAGAUUUUUUCGGAAUGAAGUUGCUUAUGACUGAGUGGCGGACGGGUGAGUAACGCGUGGGUAACCUGCCUUGUACUGGGGGAUAGCAGCUGGAAACGGCUGGUAAUACCGCAUAAGCGCACAAUGUUGCAUGACAUAGUGUGAAAAACUCCGGUGGUAUAAGAUGGACCCGCGUCUGAUUAGCUAGUUGGUGAGAUAACAGCCCACCAAGGCGACGAUCAGUAGCCGACCUGAGAGGGUGACCGGCCACAUUGGGACUGAGACACGGCCCAGACUCCUACGGGAGGCAGCAGUGGGGAAUAUUGCACAAUGGAGGAAACUCUGAUGCAGCGACGCCGCGUGAGUGAAGAAGUAAUUCGUUAUGUAAAGCUCUAUCAGCAGGGAAGAUAGUGACGGUACCUGACUAAGAAGCUCCGGCUAAAUACGU
rnacentral:rRNA from 1 species